GUAAAACAUGAUUAUGCUCGUUGGUAUGAAUGCAAACUCGAUUGGAUAACUGAGGUAGUAUAAAUACCUUGAAUGAUGCUUGCUUUGGUGUUUGUUGGCUGUUGUGUUGGAUUAAAUGAAGCAGCAGAUCGAACUGAAAUAAUAAAGUUGUUCUUGCAUUAAUGCAGGUGGAAUAAGGGAAGAAGGUGGAGCAUUGAAGACAAGCUUACCUUGAGAAUACUUGGUAGGAUGAAUUAAAGGCUCACUUCUCCUUGUGCAGUCCUCAAAUGAAGAAUGAAGAGAAUGCAACAAUGUUGGCUGUUUUGAAUGACGAGGUGGUUUGGCUGGGAGCUUGUAUACAUGGGAGGAGGUACAUUCUAGGGUGGCUGAUUGACAUAUUUAGGUGUACUUGGGCAUGGCAGCCUGCUGCAUAGGCGUGGGAAAAGAAAAGGUGCAGCAAGCUCAAGAGGGGAUAGGGGAGUGUGCAGCACAUGUCUCCAUACCUUAUUGUUAUUCCCAUUCUUGAACUUAGGGGGGGGUGGCAGGUGGUGGAGUAGUAAAAAUCUAAUUUGUAUUAUUAUCGAGAUUGCUAAAUUAAAUCC
rnacentral:lncRNA from 1 species